GCGGUGUGCCUAAUACAUGCAAGUCGUACGCACUGGCCCAACUGAUUGAUGGUGCUUGCACCUGAUUGACGAUGGAUCACCAGUGAGUGGCGGACGGGUGAGUAACACGUAGGUAACCUGCCCCGGAGCGGGGGAUAACAUUUGGAAACAGAUGCUAAUACCGCAUAACAACAAAAGCCACAUGGCUUUUGUUUGAAAGAUGGCUUUGGCUAUCACUCUGGGAUGGACCUGCGGUGCAUUAGCUAGUUGGUAAGGUAAUGGCUUACCAAGGCGAUGAUGCAUAGCCGAGUUGAGAGACUGAUCGGCCACAAUGGAACUGAGACACGGUCCAUACUCCUACGGGAGGCAGCAGUAGGGAAUCUUCCACAAUGGGCGCAAGCCUGAUGGAGCAACACCGCGUGAGUGAAGAAGGGUUUCGGCUCGUAAAGCUCUGUUGUUGGAGAAGAACGUGCGUGAGAGUAACUGUUCACGCAGUGACGGUAUCCAACCAGAAAGUCACGGCUAACUACGUGCCAGCAGCCGCGGUAAUACGUAGGUGGCAAGCGUUAUCCGGAUUUAUUGGGCGUAAAGCGAGCGCAGGCGGUUGCUUAGGUCUGAUGUGAAAGCCUUCGGCUUAACCGAAGAAGUGCAUCGGAAACCGGGCGACUUGAGUGCAGAAGAGGACAGUGGAACUCCAUGUGUAGCGGUGGAAUGCGUAGAUAUAUGGAAGAACACCAGUGGCGAAGGCGGCUGUCUGGUCUGCAACUGACGCUGAGGCUCGAAAGCAUGGGUAGCGAACAGG
rnacentral:rRNA from 1 species